rnacentral:lncRNA from 1 species
GUGGGGAAUGCGAGGAUUAUAUGAGACACCACUGCUAGAACUGGCUUUGUGAUAAACAAGCAGAGAAAUCAAGAAAACAGGGGCUUGACGGUGCAGUAAAAAAGGCUCAAUUGGAGAAGAGUAAUAAAGGAGGUGAGCCUGACAUGGUGAUGAUGAACACUCCUGCUCCUACAGCGCCCCCAAGUGGACCUGCACCGCAACCACAGCCUAUAGUGCCUUACGUACAAUUUCCCCCUCAGACCUAUGGGAACCCACAACCAUGGGGCCCACCAUCACCCAGAAUGCCACCUAUGCAAUGCUGGGGGUGUGGACAAUUUGGACACAUGAGGAACCAACAUGAGGAACCAAUGUCCACCUAAUCCUCAAUAUCAAGGAUGGGCUACAACACCUGGAGUGAACCGAAGAGGGAGAGGACAUUUCAGGAGGAAACCGAGGAAGACACCAACAAUAAGGUGGACAUCAGCAGCAACCCCAAACCUUGCAUCAGUAGAACAUGCCUGACUCUACCCCACCAGUCAUACAAGGAGAAUGUUCUAAUGCCUCCCAUCAAAAAGAGAGCUGGCCCAAGCAAGCACAGGUUACACCUGAAGCAUGAGGACUUGCAGCAAGUGGUGAACUUCAACAACUACGCAGAGGAUAAUGCAAUAGUAUUACCAGGA